rnacentral:rRNA from 1 species
AUUGAACGCUGGCGGCAUGCCUUACACAUGCAAGUCGAACGGCAGCACGGGAGCAAUCCUGGUGGCGAGUGGCGAACGGGUGAGUAAUAUAUCGGAACGUGCCCAGUAGUGGGGGAUAACUGCUCGAAAGAGCAGCUAAUACCGCAUACGACCUGAGGGUGAAAGGGGGGGAUCGCAAGACCUCUCGCUAUUGGAGCGGCCGAUAUCAGAUUAGCUAGUUGGUGGGGUAAAGGCCUACCAAGGCAACGAUCUGUAGUUGGUCUGAGAGGACGACCAGCAACACUGGGACUGAGACACGGCCCAGACUCCUACGGGAGGCAGCAGUGGGGAAUUUUGGAAAAUGGGCGCAAGCCUGAUCCAGCAAUGCCGCGUGCAGGAAGAAGGCCUUCGGGUUGUAAACUGCUUUUGUCAGGGAAGAAAUCCUCUAGGUUAAUACCCUUGGGGGGAUGACGGUACCUGAAGAAUAAGCACCGGCUAACUACGUGCCAGCCGCCGCCGUAACAC